rnacentral:rRNA from 1 species
GCCAGCCCGCUCAGAAACUUAAAGAAGUUGACGGGGCCCGGCACAAGCGGUGGAGCGUGUGGUUUAAUUCGAAGCAACGCGAAGAACCUUACCAGGCCUUGACAUGCAGAGAACUUUCCAGAGAUGGAUUGGUGCCUUCGGGAACUCUGACACAGGUGCUGCAUGGCUGUCGUCAGCUCGUGUCGUGAGAUGUUGGGUUAAGUCCCGUAACGAGCGCAACCCUUGUCCUUAGUUACCAGCACGUUAUGGUGGGCACUCUAAGGAGACUGCCGGUGACAAACCGGAGGAAGGUGGGGGUGACGUCAAGUCAUCAUGGCCCUUACGGCCUGGGCUACACACGUGCUACAAUGGUCGGUACAAAGGGUUGCCAAGCCGCGAGGUGGAGCUAAUCCCAUAAAACCGAUCGUAGUCCGGAUCGCAGUCUGCAACUCGACUGCGUGAAGUCGGAAUCGCUAGUAAUCGUGAAUCAGAAUGUCACGGUGAAUACGUUCCCGGGCCUU